UACGGAGGAUGCGAGCGUUAUCCGGAUUUAUUGGGUUUAAAGGGUGCGCAGGCGGUCUGUUAAGUCAGCGGUCAAAGCCCGGGGCUCAACCCCGGCCCGCCGUUGAAACUGGCAGUCUCGAGUUGGAGAGAAGUAUGCGGAAUGCGUGGUGUAGCGGUGAAAUGCAUAGAUAUCACGCAGAACUCCGAUUGCGAAGGCAGCGUGCCGGCAUCCAACUGACGCUGAGGCACGAAAGCGUGGGGAUCAAACAGG
rnacentral:rRNA from 1 species